rnacentral:rRNA from 1 species
CCUACGGGCGGCAGCAGUGAGGAAUAUUGGUCAAUGGGCGCGAGCCUGAACCAGCCAAGUAGCGUGAAGGAUGACUGCCCUACGGGUUGUAAACUUCUUUUAUAAAGGAAUAAAGUGAGGCACGUGUGCCUUUUUGUAUGUCCUUUAUGAAAAAGCAUCGGCAAACUCCGUGCCAGCAGCCGCGGUAAUACGGGGGAUGCGAGGGUUAUCCGGAUUUAUUGGGUUUAAGGGGUGCGUAGGGGGGCCUUUAAGCCGGCGGUAAAAUUUCGGGGCUCAACCCCGCAGAGCCGGUGGAACCGGGGGUCUUGAGUACAGGAGAGGUAGGCGGAAUGCGUGGGGUAGCGGUGAAAUGCAUAGAUAUCACGCAGAACUCCGAUUGCGAAGGCAGCAUACCGGAGCUCAACUGACGCUGAGGCACGAAAGCGUGGGGAUCGAACAGGAUUAGAUACCCCAGUAGUC